GGUUGAUCCUGCCAGUAGUCAUAUGCUUGUCUCAAAGAUUAAGCCAUGCAUGUCUAAGUAUAAAUAGUAUACAGUGAAACUGCGAAUGGCUCAUUAAAACAGUUAUAGUUUAUUUGAUAAUGGAAAGCUACAUGGAUAACCGUGGUAAUUCUAGAGCUAAUACAUGCUAUCAAACCUGACUUAUGGAAGGGUUGUAUUUAUUAGAUAUCAAGCCAAUAUUCCUUCGGGUCUAUUGCGACGAAUCAGAAUAACUGAUCGAAUCUCAAAUUUGAGAUGAAUCAUUCAAGUUU
rnacentral:rRNA from 1 species